UGAAUAAUGCUGCAAUAAACAUAGGGAUGCACAGAACCAGGUCUGUCCAGAAAAAGCACAGCAACUGUUACUAUAACAGGAACAGUUUGCACGAUAUCAAUGUAACCUGGCAGCCAAGGAGAAUGGACUGGGAUGGGUAUGCAUGAACAAUGACAACUUCACUGCACUACUAGUAAGUGGAGGUGGUAGAUGCAAUUGAGUGAGCGUGUG